rnacentral:rRNA from 1 species
UACGGAGGGUGCGAGCGUUGCUCGGAAUCACUGGGCGUAAAGGGCGCGUAGGCGGCCAUUCAAGUCGGGGGUGAAAGCCUGUGGCUCAACCACAGAAUUGCCUUCGAUACUGUUUGGCUUGAGUAUGGCAGAGGUCAGUGGAACUGCGAGUGUAGAGGUGAAAUUCGUAGAUAUUCGCAAGAACACCAGUGGCGAAGGCGGCUGACUGGGCCAUUACUGACGCUGAGGCGCGAAAGCGUGGGGAGCAAACAGG